GGUGGGUUGGCUCAGUGGUUAGAGCGUAGGUCUCGUAACCGAAAGGUCGCGGGGUCGAAUCCCGCUAGAGGCUG
rnacentral:tRNA from 1 species